rnacentral:tRNA from 1 species
GGCUCCGUAGCUCAGUUGGCUAGAGCAUUCGGUUCAUACCCGGAGUGUCAUAGGUUCGAAUCCUAUCGGAGCCACCA